rnacentral:tRNA from 1 species
UCCCUGGUAUCUCAGCUGGUAAAGAAUCUGCCUGCAGUGCAGGAGACCCUGGUUCAAAUCCUGGGUCUGGAA